rnacentral:tRNA from 1 species
CCUUAGCUCAGUUGGUAGAGCGGUCGGCUCAUAACCGAUUGGUCGUAGGUUCGAGUCCUGCAGGGC